GAUGAUUGAUGUCAGCGGCGGACCAAUGGAAGGACAGGGGCGGGACUGGAGGACCUGGCGGGGCAGUUGGGCCUCCAACCAAUCAGAGUGAAUGAGAGGCGGGACUUGGCUAUACCACGUGAUCAUCCUCGUGGACAGCGCGAUAGUGUAGGCGGAGAGCUGUCGGAUGAGGCUGUCACUGGCUCGGCCAGCAUUUAUUGCUGCGUUUACCCAGAGGGCAGUUAAGAGUCAACUGCGUUGCUAUAGGUCUGGAGUCCCAUGCAGACCAGACCAGAUACCAGUGAUUAAUGCCAAAGCCCCAUUGCCUGUGGAGAAGGUGAUGUUUGACGUCCUGUACAGCUGCAAUUCGUGUGGUGAAGGUGCUCCCACAAUGUGGUUGGGUCACCGUUCAGCCUCUGACGGUCCAGGGAAAACAGCCUAUCCAUCCCUGGCAACAUCCUGGACUUCUUUUCUGACCCUUUUCAAGUUUGAGAACAGCCAUCUGAUAGGAAGGAGACCAGAAUUGCAUGGAAUAUUACGAAGUCGCCGAAUCAAUGUCCUGUACAGCCGCAAUAUGACCUCCCAACCCCUACACUCAAUGCUCUGACCAAUAAAGGCAAGCAGACCAACUGCCGCCUUCACUAAUCUAUCUACUUGCUUCUCUACUUUCAAGGAACUGUGAACCUGCACUCCAAGGACUCUUUGUUUAGCAGCACUCCCCUGGAACUUACUAUAAACUGGUGCUUAAUGGUGAAGAUUUGCAGACUGAAAUCUCAAACUCCUGUGCAGAUUGUGAUUAAGUUAACCAGCAUUUGAAGAACCAAAGAUGGAGAAUAACUUGGGCAAAAUCCAGCAACCCU